UACGUAGGGAGCAAGCGUUGUCCGGAAUCAUUGGGCGUAAAGCGCGCGUAGGCGGCCUCAUAAGUCCGUUGUGAAAGUCAAAGGCUCAACCUUUGAAAGCCGAUGGAUACUGUGAGGCUAGAGUCCGGAAGAGGCGAGGUGGAAUUCCUGGUGUAGCGGUGGAAUGCGCAGAUAUCAGGAGGAACACCAAUAGCGAAGGCAGCUCGCUGGGACGGUACUGACGCUAAGGCGCGAAAGCGUGGGGAGCGAACAGG
rnacentral:rRNA from 1 species